UACAGAGGGGGCAAGCGUUGUUCGGAAUUACUGGGCGUAAAGGGCGCGUAGGCGGCCCGCUAAGUCGAACGUGAAAUCCCCGGGCUCAACCCGGGAACUGCGUCCGAUACUGGUGGGCUCGAAUCCGGGAGAGGGAUGCGGAAUUCCAGGUGUAGCGGUGAAAUGCGUAGAUAUCUGGAGGAACACCAGUAGCGAAGGCGGCUCGCUGGGCCACACCUGACGCUGAGACGCGAAAGCCAGGGGAGCAAACGGG
rnacentral:rRNA from 1 species